GACGAACGCUGGCGGCGUGCUUAACACAUGCAAGUCGAACGGAAAGGCCCUGCUUGCAGGGUACUCGAGUGGCGAACGGGUGAGUAACACGUGGGUGAUCUGCCCUGCACUUCGGGAUAAGCCUGGGAAACUGGGUCUAAUACCGGAUAGGAGCCAUUUUUAGUGUGAUGGUUGGAAAGUUUUUUUCGGUGUAGGAUGAGCUCGCGGCCUAUCAGCUUGUUGGUGGGGUAAUGGCCUACCAAGGCGGCGACGGGUAGCCGGCCUGAGAGGGUGGACGGCCACAUUGGGACUGAGAUACGGCCCAGACUCCUACGGGAGGCAGCAGUGGGGAAUAUUGCACAAUGGGCGCAAGCCUGAUGCAGCGACGCCGCGUGGGGGAUGACGGCCUUCGGGUUGUAAACGCCUUUCGCUAGGGACGAAGCUUUUUGUGACGGUACCUAGAGAAGAAGCACCGGCUAACUACGUG
rnacentral:rRNA from 1 species